UACGAAGGGUGCAAGCGUUGCUCGGAAUUAUUGGGCGUAAAGGGUAGGUAGGUGGUUGCACAUGUCUGGGGUGAAAUCCCUGAGCUUAACUCAGGACUGCCUUGGAAACGGUGUAACUAGAGUACUAGAGAGGUUCGUGGAAUUCCUGGUGUAGCGGUGAAAUGCGUAGAGAUCAGGAGGAACAUCAGCGGCGAAGGCGGCGAACUGGAUAGUAACUGACACUCAACUACGAAAGCGUGGGGGAGCAAACAGG
rnacentral:rRNA from 1 species